GACGAACGCUGGCGGCAUGCUUAACACAUGCAAGUCGAACGGAAAGGCCCUGCUUUUGUGGGGUGCUCGAGUGGCGAACGGGUGAGUAACACGUGAGUAACCUGCCCUUGACUUUGGGAUAACUUCAGGAAACUGGGGCUAAUACCGGAUAGGAGCUCCUGCUGCAUGGUGGGGGUUGGAAAGUUUCGGCGGUUGGGGAUGGACUCGCGGCUUAUCAGCUUGUUGGUGGGGUAGUGGCUUACCAAGGCUUUGACGGGUAGCCGGCCUGAGAGGGUGACCGGCCACAUUGGGACUGAGAUACGGCCCAGACUCCUACGGGAGGCAGCAGUGGGGAAUAUUGCACAAUGGGCGGAAGCCUGAGGCAGCAACGCCGCGUGCGGGAUGACGGCCUUCGGGUGGUAAACCGCUUUCGCCUGUGACGAAGCGUGAGGGACGGUAAUGGGUAAAGAAGCACCGGCUAACUACGG
rnacentral:rRNA from 1 species